CGGCGGAACCUUUUUCAACUGUCUCUUCCCCCACCCUUCUAAAUUCUUUCCUGUGUGAAGAAACCCAGAUACAUCAGAAAGACGAGAAGACCCUGUCGAGCUUUAACCACUAGGUGAGUUUACUUACCCCUUUUUAAAUAUCACCAAAAGGUUUUGGUUGGGGCAACCACGGAGAAAAAAAAUCCUCCAGACUAAAUAGAAGAAAACUCUUCACUAUUACGCUUUCAAGAACCAGGAACUGGUAAUCGGAAAAAGUUACCGCAGGGAUAACAGCGUUAUCUCCUCUAAGAGUCCUUAUUGACGAGGAGGUUUGCGACCUCGAUGUUGGAUUGGGGCCCCCUUAGGGUGCAGAAGCUCUAAACGGUUAGACUGUUCGUCUAUUAAAGCCCUACGUGAUCUGAGU
rnacentral:rRNA from 1 species